AAAAAGUAUAGGAUUGGGUGUUUAGCUGGUAUACUUCACACUGAAUAGUUUCAUUAAAGUCAGCUUCAUAGUUAGACCAUCGCACUUCAGCGUAGAUAUCAACAAGUCAACGUCACAAUGUUACCAUCGCACUUCAGCGUGUUAACCAACGCAGUUUAGCGUAGACCAUCGCGGUUCCGUGUCCUACACAUGUCCUAACAACAACCAUGAUAGAAAUUGCCCUAUAUUUAGAUAACUUAUACUUUUACUUACAGACUGUUUAACUCAAUAAAGAAGCUGCAAUUAUCACAUGACAAUGAAAGGGAUACCGGUUCAAGAACUUGCAUUUAAUCUUCAAAGGGAACGAGCAAGGCUAUUUGGACUUGGAUCUAGUCGUUCAACUGGACCAGACAACAAAAGACAAAAGAGUAAGAAAGGAUGGACAUUUACAUUGUUUGCUUUAGAUCUGUAAAUAAAGAAAAAAUAAAGGCAACAGAGUAUACCGCUGUUCAAAACUCAUAAAUCCAUGAACCGAGGGAAAGGCAUUAAUUAUAAGAGGAGAACAACAACACAACACUGAAAUGUAACACACACAGAAACGGACAAAGCUUCAGACAAAAUCCCACGAGAAUAACAAAUAUAAACCAAAUACAUGAAUUUGGGAUAGACAAGUACCGUGACACGUCUUAUCGCAAUGUGAAUUUUACACUGAAGAUAUCCCAAAGUCUUCAGA
rnacentral:lncRNA from 1 species